GUAAGACGAACAAAAAGUUUUU
rnacentral:miRNA from 1 species